rnacentral:lncRNA from 1 species
AGGCACAAAGUGGUGCACCAUAUAGAUAUGGUGAAGAAGAGGUCCAAAGUGGUAUGUUUGAUUAAAUUAGUGAAGAUGGAAAUUGUUUUGGUUCUACAAGUGGUAGUUCUGGAUUUGAUUCAAAGAUGUCUUUAGAUGGAGAGACUGAAGAUGAUAAAAUGGUUGGUGACUCCAUAGGUACACAAAAUAUUGUCCAGAUUUUAGAGCGUAUAACUGUGGGGCAAAUAUAUAGCACCAAGAAAGGAGUUACAACAUAAGUUGCGUACGAUCACGAUUUUUCAAAAUUUU